rnacentral:rRNA from 1 species
ACGUAGGGUGCGAGCGUUAAUCGGAAUUACUGGGCGUAAAGCGUGCGCAGGCGGUUUUGUAAGACAGGUGUGAAAUCCCCGGGCUUAACCUGGGAACUGCAUUUGUGACUGCAAGACUAGAGUGCGGCAGAGGGGGGUAGAAUUCCACGUGUAGCAGUGAAAUGCGUAGAUAUGUGGAGGAAUACCGAUGGCGAAGGCAGCCCCCUGGGUCGACACUGACGCUCAUGCACGAAAGCGUGGGGAGCAAACAGGAUUAGAUACCCUGGUAGUCCACGCCCUAAACGAUGUCAACUAGGUGUUGGGGAAGGAGACUUCUUUAGUACCGCAGCUAACGCGAUAAGUUGACCGCCUGGGGAGUACGGUCGCAAGAUUA